UACGAAGGGUGCAAGCGUUACUCGGAAUUACUGGGCGUAAAGCGUGCGUAGGUGGUUUGUUAAGUCUGAUGUGAAAGCCCUGGGCUCAACCUGGGAAUUGCAUUGGAUACUGGCAAGCUAGAAUUCGGUAGGGGAGACUGGAAUUCCUGGUGUAGCGGUGAAAUGCGCAGAUAUCAGGAGGAACACCGGUGGCGAAGGCGGGUCUCUGGACAGUUCCUGACGUGAGGCACGAAGGUCAGGGGAGCAAACGGG
rnacentral:rRNA from 1 species